rnacentral:rRNA from 1 species
CACGUAGGCGGAUAUUUAAGUCAGGGGUGAAAUCCCCAGAGCUCAACUCUGGAACUGCCUUUGAUACUGGGUAUCUUGAGUAUGGAAGAGGUAAGUGGAAUUCCGAGUGUAGAGGUGAAAUUCGUAGAUAUUCGGAGGAACACCAGUGGCGAAGGCGGCUUACUGGUCCAUUGCUGACGCUGAGGUGCGAAAGCGGUGGGGAGCAAACA